rnacentral:rRNA from 1 species
UACAGAGGUCUCAAGCGUUGUUCGGAUUCAUUGGGCGUAAAGGGUGCGUAGGUGGCGCCGUAAGUCAGGUGUGAAAUCUCGGGGCUCAACCCCGAAACUGCACUUGAUACUGCGGUGCUCGAGUACUGGAGAGGAGAUUGGAAUUUACGGUGUAGCAGUGAAAUGCGUAGAUAUCGUAAGGAAGACCAGUGCGAAGGCGAAUCUCUGGACAGUUACUGACACUGAGGCACGAAGGCCAGGGGAGCAAACGGG